rnacentral:rRNA from 1 species
AUGAACGCUGGCGGCGUGCCUAAUACAUGCAAGUCGAGCGAACAGAUGAGGAGCUUGCUCCUCUGACGUUAGCGGCGGCCGGGUGAGUAACACGUGGAUAACCUACCUAUAAGACUGGGAUAACUUCGGGAAACCGGAGCUAAUACCGGAUAAUAUAUUGAACCGCAUGGUUCAAUAGUGAAAGACGGUUUUGCUGUCACUUAUAGAUGGAUCCGCGCCGCAUUAGCUAGUUGGUAAGGUAACGGCUUACCAAGGCAACGAUGCGUAGCCGACCUGAGAGGGUGAUCGGCCACACUGGAACUGAGACACGGUCCAGACUCCUACGGGAGGCAGCAGUAGGGAAUCUUACGCAAUGGGCGAAAGCCUGACGGAGCAACGCCGCGUGAGUGAUGAAGGUCUUCGGAUCGUAAAACUCUGUUAUUAGGGAAGAACAAAUGUGUAAGUAACUAUGCACGUCUUGACGGUACCUAAUCAGAAAGCCACGGCUAACUACGUG